AUUGAACGCUGGCGGCAGGCCUAACACAUGCAAGUCGAGCGGAGCGGCGGACGGGGGAGGAAUGCCUAGGAAUCGGCCUGGGAGUGGGGGAUAACGUCCGGAAACGGGCGCUAAUACCGCAUACUCUCAGAUGAGCCUAGGUCGGAGUAGCUAGUUGGUGGGGUAAAGGCCUACCAAGGCGACGAUCCGUAUCUGGUCUGAGAGGAUGAUCAGUCACACUGGAACUGAGACACGGUCCAGACUCCUACGGGAGGCAGCAGUGGGGAAUAUUGGACAAUGGGCGAAAGCCUGAUGCAGCCAUGCCGCGUGUGUGAAGAAGGUCUUCGGAUUGUAAAGCACUUUAAGUUGGGAGGCGUUACCCACAGAAUCAGCACCGGCUAACUCCGUGCCAGCAGCCGCGGUAAUAC
rnacentral:rRNA from 1 species